rnacentral:rRNA from 1 species
UACGUAGGGUGCGAGCGUUAAUCGGAUUUACUGGGCGUAAAGCGUGCGCAGGCGGCCCGUUAAGACAGGUGUGAAAUCCCUGGGCUCAACCUAGGAAUUGCGCUUGUGACUGGCGGGCUCGAGUACGGUAGAGGGGGGUGGAAUUCCUGGUGUAGCGGUGAAAUGCGUAGAGAUCAGGAGGAACACCGAUGGCGAAGGCAGCCCCCUGGGCCUGUACUGACGCUCAUGCACGAAAGCGUGGGGAGCAAACAGG